UACGUAGGGAGCAAGCGUUGUUCGGAUUUACUGGGCGUAAAGGGCGCGUAGGCGGCGCGGUAAGUCACUUGUGAAAUCUCUGAGCUUAACUCAGAACGGACAAGUGAUACUGCAGUGCUAGAGUGCAGAAGGGGCAAUCGGAAUUCUUGGUGUAGCGGUGAAAUGCGUAGAUAUCAAGAGGAACACCUGAGGUGAAGAAGGGUUGCUGGGCCGACACUGACGCUGGAGCGAAAGCGUGGGGAGCGAACAGG
rnacentral:rRNA from 1 species